UGCAAGUCGAGCGGUAACAGAAAGUAGCUUGCUACAUUUGCUGACGAGCGGCGGACGGGUGAGUAAUGCUUGGGAACAUGCCUUGAGGUGGGGGACAACAGUUGGAAACGACUGCUAAUACCGCAUAAUGUCUACGGACCAAAGGGGGCUUCGGCUCUCGCCUUUAGAUUGGCCCAAGUGGGAUUAGCUAGUUGGUGAGGUAAUGGCUCACCAAGGCGACGAUCCCUAGCUGGUUUGAGAGGAUGAUCAGCCACACUGGGACUGAGACACGGCCCAGACUCCUACGGGAGGCAGCAGUGGGGAAUAUUGCACAAUGGGCGCAAGCCUGAUGCAGCCAUGCCGCGUGUGUGAAGAAGGCCUUCGGGUUGUAAAGCACUUUCAGUCAGGAGGAAAGGGUGGUGGUUAAUACCCAUCAUCUGUGACGUUACUGACAGAAGAAGCACCGGCUAACUCCGUGCCAGCAGCCGCGGUAAUACGGAGGGUGCGAGCGUUAAUCGGAAUUACUGGGCGUAAAGCGUACGCAGGCGGUUUGUUAAGCGAGAUGUGAAAGCCCCGGGCUCAACCUGGGAACUGCAUUUCGAACUGGCAAACUAGAGUGUGAUAGAGGGUGGUAGAAUUUCAGGUGUAGCGGUGAAAUGCGUAGAGAUCUGAAGGAAUACCGAUGGCGAAGGCAGCCACCUGGGUCAACACUGACGCUCAUGUACGAAAGCGUGGGGAGCAAACGGGAUUAGAUACCCCGGUAGUCCACGCCGUAAACGAUGUCUACUAGAAGCUCGGAGCCUCGGUUCUGUUUUUCAAAGCUAACGCAUUAAGUAGACCGCCUGGGGGAGUACGGCCGCAAGGUUAAAACUCAAAUGAAUUGACGGGGGCCCGCACAAGCGGUGGAGCAUGUGGUUUAAUUCGAUGCAACGCGAAGAACCUUACCUACACUUGACAUACAGAGAACUUACCAGAGAUGGUUUGG
rnacentral:rRNA from 1 species